GGCCAGUUCCUAUUCCAUCUCCCUGCUGCUUCUUGCCUCAGAGUGGUGGGUGCACCAAGAUUGGCAUUCGGCCCUAGGAAGCAUAUUGGAACAUUUUGGCCCAAAAGAGGAGGCUCAAAGAGAUCUUUUUCUUUUCGUGAUUCUACGGAAAAAUACUGGAAGAGAAAAAAUAGCUAAUGACCAAUGUACACAAUUCUGCAUAUUAAAAUGAAGAAAAUUUGAUUAAUAGCAAAAACUCCACAAGAUAAAUCAGCAACUCUACAAUUUUACAAAAUUUCUUCUCAAAUCUGAGGCUAAAAUUUUUGACAGAAGAACCUAGAAGUUAAGAAUUCUUCAUACUGGUUUUAUUUAACAACAAAUCACCUUGACUCAAGGAUACUUACUGAGUGCCUUUCAUGAGAAGAAAACAAACCACAGUGGAGCUGUCUUAGGCUUUGCAAGGGAAAUGGAGCCACUGCAAGGUCUGUAUCUCCCCUCCUCACUCAAUUCCUUGUCUCUUCUCUGCUCCUAUUUGCUUGCACCCACAGCUGCUUUCACCAAUCUGUACUUCUCUCACUCCCUCACUUUAGUUUGUCCUGACAGUUAUCCUCUUCUGAGCUUUCAUUUUUACAAACUUUGCCAGCUGAGCAAUGAUGAAUUUUAUAGCCACAUAUAAUUUCCCUUUCUUCUCAACUAUGUUUUUUGCUAGCUACUGAGAUAACUUUUCUGUUCCCAAACAGGCUGUAGCUAAAAGAGAGGGAUCUGGAAACUGAAUCCUUAAGAUACCUGGAUAUUCAAAUACAUCUACUGAUUUGACUGGACUGCUUUCUCUAAGUAACCUAGGAAAGGUGGUUAAAAACCAGGUUUAAUGUUUAUAUGUUUUUCCAUCAUGCUAUGCUAAGACACUUUACAACUUAUUUUAAUUUAAAGCUUCCUAAAUUG